rnacentral:rRNA from 1 species
UACGUAGGCAGCAAGCGUUGUUCGGAGUUACUGGGCGUAAAGGGUGCGUAGGCGGCUUCUUAAGUCUGGUGUGAAAUCUCCCGGCUCAACUGGGAGGGUGCGCCGGAUACUGAGGGGCUAGAGUGUGGGAGAGGAAAGUGGAAUUCCAGGUGUAGCGGUGAAAUGCGUAGAUAUCUGGAGGAACACCGGUGGUGUAAACGGCUUUCUGGACCAUAACUGACGCUGAGGCACGAAAGCGUGGGUAGCAAACAGG